rnacentral:lncRNA from 1 species
AAGAUUUCCAAGGUUUAGCCAAGGCUUAGCUAAGGACCCCAUUACUCGCCGUAUUUGGUUUGGUAUUGUUACCGCGCAUGACUUCGAGAGUCAUGAUGAUAUUACGGAGGAACGUCUUUAUCAGAAUAUUUUUGCUUCUCACUUUGGGCAAUUAGCAAUAAUUUUUCUCUGGACUUCCGGGAAUCUGUUUCAUGUAGCUUGGCAAGGAAAUUUUGAAGCAUGGGUACAGGACCCCUUACAUGUAAGACCUAUUGCUCAUGCAAUUUGGGAUCCCCAUUUUGGCCAACCGGCUGUGGAAGGUUUUACUCGAGGGGGGGCUCUUGGCCUAGUGAAUAUCGCUUAUUUGGGUGUUUAUCAGUGGUGAUAAACAAUUGGUUUACGUACUAAUAAAGAUCUUUAUAGCAGGGAUCUUUUUCUAUUAUUUCUUUCCACCAUAUCCCUACUAGCGGGCUGGUUACACCUACAACCUAAAUGGAAACCGAGUGAUUCAUGGUUCAAAAAUGCUGAAUCUCGAUCACCAUUUCUCAGGAUUAUUCGGAGUAAGUUCCUUAGCUUGGACAAGGCAUUUAGUCCAUGUCGCUAUUCCCGGCUCUAUGGGAGAAUACGUUUGGUGGAAUAAUUUCUUAGAUGUAUUACCGCAUCCGCAAGGAUAGGGCCCCUUUUUAUGGGUCAAUGGAAUCUUUAUGCUCAAAAGCCUAAUUCAAGCAGUCAUUUAUUUGGUACUUCCCGCGGGGCAGGAACUGCAAUUCUAACCCUUCUCGGGGAAUCCCACCCACAAACACAAAGUUUAUGGCUGAGAGAUAUGGCACACCCCCAUUUAGCUAUUGCAUUUAUUUUUCUCGUUGCUGGUCAUAUGUAUUGAACUAACUUCCGGAUUGGACACAGUAUAAAAGAUCUUUUAGAAGUACAUAUUCCUCCGGGGGAACGAUUGGGGCGUGGGCAUAGGGGACUUUAUGACACAAUCAAUAAUUCGCUUCACUUUCAAUUAGGUCUUGUUCUAGCUUCUUUAGGAGUUAUUACUUCCUUAGUAGCCCAACACAUGUACACCUUACCUGCUUACGCGUUCAUAGCGCAAGACUUUACUACUCAUCACCAUUAUAUCAUCGGAUUCAUCAUGACAGGAGCUUUUGCUCAGUACGCUAUUUUUUUAUUAGAGAUUUCAAUCCGAACCAGAAUGAGGAUAAUGUAUUGGCAAGAAUGUUAGAACAUAAAGCAGCUUUCAUAUCCCUUUUAAGUUGGGCCAGCCUCUUUUUGGGAUUCCAUACUUUGGGACUUUAUAUACAUAAUGAUGUGAUGCUUGCUUUCGGGACUCCAGGAAAACAAAUUUUGAUUGAACCUAUAUUUGCCCAAUGCAUUUAAUCUUCUCACGGUAAAACUUCAUAUGGGUUCGAUGUACUUCUAUCUUCAACGAAUAGUCCAACCUUUGAAUGCAAGGUGCAAUGUGAAUAGUGAAAGCACACUAUAAUGAGGAGCAUGGUGUAUAGUGCAUAUUGGAUGUCCAAAAUACCAAGGUGGCCUAUGCAUAGUAGAACUGUGUUAUACCAAAGUGCAAGGUGUAUAGUGUAAAGGCAGGGCACCAUGCUGCACGGUGCAUUGUGCAUGAUCGAAGUGCACCAUACCGUAGUGCACGAUGCAUGGUGAAUGGUGGAACUUCAUCAUACUAAUGUCCAUGGUGCAUAGUGGAAGUGCACCGUACUAGGUGCAUAGUGGAAGGUGGAUGGCGGAAGUACACAAUAGCAAGGUAUACUAUGCAUAUUGGGCAUGCAAUGUACUACGGUGCAUAGUCCACAGCAUAGCGCAUGGUGGAAGUUUAAAAUACCAAGGUGCAUUGUGUAAAGUGGAAAUACACUAUGCGAAGGUGCAAGGUGCAUGAUGGAAAUGCACUAUACCAUGGUGCACGGUGCAUGGUGCUCGAUGGGACUACAACAUACUAAUGUGCAUGGGGCAUAGUGAAAGUGUACCGUAAUAAGGUGAAAGUUCAAGGCGGAUGGUGGAAGCGUGCCAUACAAACGUGUAUUGUGCAUAUUGGAACUGCAAUGUACCAAGGUGCGUGGUCCAUAUAGUGCAUGUUGGAAGUGUAUUGUACCAUGGUGAUAUGUGUAAGGUGUAUAAUGGAAUUGCACCAUACCAAGCUGGACCGUGCAAAGUGGAAGUGCAUCAUUCCAAACUGCAAGGUGGAAGUGCACCAUAAGAAGAUGCACUGUGCAUAGGGGUAAGGCAAUAUACUAAUGUGCAUGAUGCAUGGUGCAAUUGCAUCAUACCAAGCACAUGGUGCAUGUUGAAAUUACAUCGUACCAAGACACAUAGUGUAAGGUAAAUGGUCGAAAUGGACCAUAGAAAGGUGCAUUGUGCAUAGUAGAAAUGCACUACAACAAGGUGUACGGUGCAUAUUACAUGUUAACAGUUAAAAGUACCAAAGGUGCACUAUGUUUAAUGGAACUGCACUAUACCAAGGUGCAAGAUGCGUGGUAAAUUGUGGAAGUGGUGCACCAUACGAAGGUGCAAUGUGAAUAGGGAAAGCACACUAUAACGAGGAGCAUGGUGUAUAGUGCAUAUUGGAUGUCCAAAAUACCAAUGUGGCCUAUGUAUAGUGGAAGUAUACUAUACCAAAGUCCAAGGUGCAUGGUGGAAAGGCAGCGUAUCAUGCUGCACGGUGCAUUGUGCAUGGAGGAAGUGCACCAUACCAUAGUGCAUGAUGCAUGGUGAAUGGUGGAAUUCAUCAUACUAAUGUCCAUGGUGCAUAGUGGAAGGGCACCGUACUAGGGGCAAAGGGGAAGGGGGGUGGGGGAAGGACGGAAGAUGAAGGUAUACAUUGCAUAUUGAGCAUGCAAUGUACUAAGGUGCUUGGUCCAUUGUACAUGAUGGCAGUGCAAAAUACCAAGGUGCAUUGUGUAUAGUGGAUAUGCACUAUAACAAUGUGUACGUUGCAUAUGACCUAUUAAAAGUGAAAAAUUAAAUAAAAAAAAAGCCGUAAGUAUGGUUUCCCAAAACCCGUUACUCAAACCUGAGUAUGAUAACAUCGAGUUUGCCAUCUCUUUUAGAGUAUGAUUCUUCCUCUCAGCAACACCAUUAUGCUGUGGUGUGUAUGGAGCAGUGGUUUCAUGGAUGAUCCCCACACUUUGAAAGUAUGCUGGAUCAUAGAACUCCCCUCCUCGAUUAGUUGAUGACAUACCUCUUACGUCCAAUGGUCGGAGUGCUAUGCAAGUCACACAAAUCGUUGUGUAUCAACUCAAGCAUCACUGAUUUCCAUUGGAUACUAGUGAAAGGCUGACGAGUAAUUUUAGUGUGGAUACACAUUUUACAUCAUUCAGCAUUGACAUCAAAAGAGGGCAGAAUCCCUUCUUUCGACAUUUCAGUUAGACGUUUAUAGUUAACGUGUCCUAACCGAGCAUGCCAUAAGGAGAAGUCAGAGGUACCAACCAAGAAAGCAUGAUCAUUAAUAAUAGUAUUAUAGAUAUUCAGCAUAAACAUGCCAUUGUUAUAGUGGCCAAAGCCUACAAACACACCACCCUUAGAUAAUGCAUAUCUAUCAGAUUCUUGCACUUGUUUGUAGCCAUAUCUAUUAAGCAUACUGCCCGACACUAAGUUUUUCCUAAUCUUAGGGGCAUGAAGUACAUCUCUAAGCUCUAGGCAUUUUCCAGAACUAAGUUCCAACAUCACCAAUCCACUCCCAACAAUAGGGGUCUUUGACUCGUUGCCCAUGUGAAGUACAACAUCAUCAUCUGAUGCCUCGUAUGUUUUGAACUAGUGACGAUCCUUGCAUACAUGUCUGUUGGCACCCGAGUCAAUCCACCAUGCCACUUCAUCAUCAUGUACAUAGAAUGCUUCCAAUAUUAGUGAAACAUAAUUCACAUCAAUAUCUAUAUCAUGGUUCAAGAACCAACUUUUAGAAGUGGAUGUCCCUUCAUCUUUCGAUCCAGACUUCUGACGCUGUUUAUUAUCAUGAUCCCCAGACUUCUGACGCUGUUUAUUAUCAUGAUCGCCAUUUCUAGGUACAAUGUGAAUAGUGCACACACACUAUAACGAGGAGCGUGGUGCAAAGUGCAUAUUGGAAGUGCAAAAUACCAAGGUGGCUUAUUUAUAGUGGAGGUGUACUAUACCAAGGUGCAAGGUGCAUGGUGGAAAGGCAGCGUACCAUGCUGCACAGUGCAAUGUGCAUGAUGGAAGUGCACCAUACCGUAGUGUACGAUGCAUGGUGAAUGGUGGAACUUCAUCAUACUAAUAUGCACGAUACAUAGUGGAAGUGUGCAGUACUAGGUGCAAAGUGCAAGGUGAAUGGUCGAAGUACACAAUAGCAAGGUAUACUAUGCAUAUGGGACAUGCACCUUAGUACAUUGGAUGCCCAAUCUGCAUAGUAUACCUUGUUGUUGUGUACUUCUACCAUCCAUCUUGCACUUUGCACCUAGUACCGUGCAAUUCCAAUAUGCACCAUGGACAUUAGUACAAUGAAGUUCCACCAUUCACCAUGCAUCAUACACUAUGGUGUGGUGCACUCCAUCAUGCACAAUGCACCGUGCAGCAUGGUAUGCUGCCUUUCCAACAUGCACCUUGCACUUUGGUAUACUACACUUCCACUAUACAUAGGCCACCUUGGUAUUUUGCACUUCCAAUAUGAACUAUGCACCAUGCUCCUCGUUAUAAUUUCUUUAACUAUUCACAUUGCACCUUGGUGUAUUUUGCAUAUUGGAACGGCAAUGUACCAAUGUGCGUGGUCUAUAUAGUGCAUGGUGGAAGUGCAUUGUACCAUAGUGAUGUGUGUAUGGUGUAUAUUGGAAUAGGCUAUAUAAUAAUGUGCAUGAUGCAUGGUGCAAUUGCAUCAUACCAAGCACACGGUACAUGUUCGAAUUACACCAUACCAAGACGCAUACUAUAAGGUGAAUGGUGGUAGUGGAGCAUAGCAAGGUGCUAUGUGAAUAGUGGAAAUGCACUAGAACAAGGUGUACGGUGCAUAUUACAUUUUAAAAAUGAAAAAUACCAAGGUGCACUAUAUUUAAUGGAACUACACUAUACCAAGGUGCAAACUGCGUAGUAAGUGGUGGAAGUGCACCAUACCAUGGUGCAAUGUAAAUAUUGAAAACACACUAUAACGAGGGCAUGGUGUAUAAUGCAUAUUGGAUGUCCAAAAUACCAAGUUGGCAUGUGUAUAGUGGAAGUUUAGUACACCUAAGUGCAAGGUGCAUGGUGGAAAGGUAGCGUACCAUGAUGUAUGGUGCAUUGUGCAUGAUGUAAGAGCACCAUACCUUAGUGCAUAAUGCAUGGUGAAUGGUGGCAUGCCAUCAUACUAAUGUACAUGGUGCAUAGUGGAAGUGCAUCGUAAUAGGUGCAAAGUGCAAGGUGGAUGGUGAAUGGUGGAACAUAAUCAUAUUAAUGUCCACAUAUCAUAGUGGAUGUGCACCGUAAUAGGUUCAACGGGCAAGGUGGAUGGUGGAAGUACACAAUAGCAAAGUAUAAUGUGCAUAUUGGGCAUGCAAUGUACUAAGAUGCAUGGUCCAUAGCAUAGUGCAUGGUGGACGUAGAAAAUACAAAGGUUCAUUGUGUAUAGUGGAAGUACACUAUGAAAGGUGCAAGGUGCAUGAUGGAAGUGAACCAUACCAUGGUGCACAAUCGGUGGAACUGCAACAUACUAAUGUACUAGGGGAAUAGUGGACGUAUAAUGUAAUAAGAAAGUGCUUGGCAGAUGGUUGAAGCGCACCAUAGAAAAGGUGUAUUGUGCAUAUUGGAAAUGCAAUGUACCAAGGUGCAUGGUCCAUAUAGUCUGGUGGAAGUGCAUUGUACCAUAGUGAUAUGUGUAAGGUGCAUAGCGGAAUUGCACCGUACCAAGCUGCUCCGUGCAAUGUCGAAGUACACCAAUCCAAGCUGCAUGGUGUAUACUGCAUGUUGGAAGUGCACCAUAAGAAGCUGCACUAUGCAUAGUGGUAAGGCAAUAUACCAAGCACAUGGUGCAAUGAUGCAUGGUGCAAUUGCAUCAUACUAAGACGCAUAGUGUAAGGUAAUGGUGGAGGUGGACCAUAGAAAGGUGCAUUUGGAAUAGUAGAAAUGCACUAGAAGAAGGUGUACAGUGCAUAUUACAUGUUAAAAGUCGAAAAUACCAAGGUGCACUAUGUUUAACGGAACUGCACUAUACCAAGGUGCAAGGUUCAUGGUAAAUGGUGGAAGUUCACAAUACCAAGGUGCAAUGUGAAUAGGGAAAGCACACUAUAACGAGGGGCAUGAUGCAUAGUGCAUAUUGGAAGUGCAAAAUACCAAGGUGGCCUAUGUAUACUGGAAGUGUAUUACACCAAAGUGCAAGGUGCAUGGUGGAAAGGCAACGUACCAUGCUGCAAGGUGCAUUGUCCAUGAUGGAAGUGCACCAUACCGUAGUAUACGAUGCAUGGUGAAUGGUGGAACUUCAUCAUACUAAUGUCCAUGGUGCAUAAUGGAAGUUCACCGUCCUUGGUACAAAGUGCAAGGUGUAUGGUAGAAGUACACAAUACCAAGGUAUACUGUGCAUAUUACGUAUGCAAUGUACUAAGGUGCAUCGUCCAUAGCAUAGUGCAUGGUGGAAGUUUAAAAUACGAAUGUGCAUUGUGUAUAGUGGAAGUACACUAUGCCAAGUGCAAAGUGCAUGAUGAACGUGCACCUUACCAUGGUGCACAGUGCAUGGUGGAACUGCACUAUACUAAUUUGCAUAGGGCAUAGUGGAAGUGUACCGUAAUAAGGAUAAAGUGCAAGGCGGAUGUUGGAUACGCACGAUACAAAGGUCUAUUGUGUGUAUUGGAACAACAUUUUACUUAGGUUUGUGGUCCAUAUAGUUUGUGGUCGAAGUACAUUGUACCAUGGCGAUAUGCUUAACGUGUAUAGAAGAAUUGCACCACACCAAGUUUCUACAUGCAAUGUGGAAGUGCAUCAUUCCAAACUGCAAGGUGGAAGUGCACCAUAAGAAGCUGCACUAUGCAUAGUGGUAAGGCAAUAUACCAAGCACAUGGUGCAAUGAUGCAUGGUGCAAUUGCAUCAUACUAAGACGCAUAGUGUAAGGUAAUGGUGGAGGUGGACCAUAGAAAGGUGCAUUUGGAAUAGUAGAAAUGCACUAGAAGAAGGUGUACAGUGCAUAUUACAUGUUAAAAGUCGAAAAUACCAAGGUGCACUAUGUUUAACGGAACUGCACUAUACCAAGGUGCAAGGUUCAUGGUAAAUGGUGGAAGUUCACAAUACCAAGGUGCAAUGUGAAUAGGGAAAGCACACUAUAACGAGGGGCAUGAUGCAUAGUGCAUAUUGGAAGUGCAAAAUACCAAGGUGGCCUAUGUAUACUGGAAGUGUAUUACACCAAAGUGCAAGGUGCAUGGUGGAAAGGCAACGUACCAUGCUGCAAGGUGCAUUGUCCAUGAUGGAAGUGCACCAUACCGUAGUAUACGAUGCAUGGUGAAUGGUGGAACUUCAUCAUACUAAUGUCCAUGGUGCAUAAUGGAAGUUCACCGUCCUUGGUACCAAGAGCAAGGUGUAUGGGAGAAGUAAACAAUAACAAGGUAUACUGGGCAUAUUACGGAUGCAAAGCACUCAGGUCCUCCAGGGGGACGAUUGGGCCGUGGCCAUAGGGGACUUUAUGGCACAAUCAAUAGUUAGCUUCAUUUUCAAUUAGGUCUUGCUCUAGCUUGUUUAGGAGUUAUUACUUUCUUAGUAGCCUAACACAUGUACUCCUUACCUGCUUACGCGUUCAUAGCGCUAGACUUUACUACUCAAGCUGCAUUAUAUACUAAUCACCAAUAUAUUGUCGGAUUCAUCAUAACAGGAGCUUUUGCUCACUAAGCUAUUUUUUAUUAGAGAUUGCAAUCCGGAGCAAAAUGAGGAUAAUGUAUUGGCAAGAAUGUUAAAAUAUAAAGAAGCUAUCAUAUCCCAUUUAAGUUGGGCCAGCCACUUUCUGGGAUUCCAUACUUUGGGACUUUAUGUUCAUAAUGAUGUGAUGCUUGCUUUUGCGACUCCUGAAUUUUUUUUUAUUGAACCUAUAUUUGCCCAAUGGGUUCAAUCUUCUCACAGUAAAACUUCAUAUGGGUUUGAUGUACUUCUAUCUUCAACGAAUAGUCCAGCCUUUGAAUGCAAGAUGCAAUGUGAAUAGUGAAAGCACACUGUAACGAGGACCAUGGUGCAUAGUGCAUAUUGGAAGUGGAAAAUACCAAGGUGGAAAAUGUAUAGUGGAAAUGUACUAUACCAAAGUGCAAGGUGAAUGGUGGAAAGGUAGCGUAUCAAGCUACACGGUGCAUUGUGCAUGAUGGAAGUGCACCAUACCGUAGUGCACAAUGCAUGGUGAAUGGUGGAACUUCAUCAUACUAAUGUCCAUGGUGCAUAGUGGAAGUGCACCGUACUAGGUGCAAAGUGCAAGGUGGAUGGUGGAAGUACGCAAUAGCAAGGUAUACAUUGCAUAUUGAGCAUGCAAUGUACUAACGUGCAUGGUCCAUAGCAUAGUGCACGGUGGAAGUGCAAAAUACCAAGGUGCAUUGUGUAUAAUGGAAGUACACUAUGCAAAGGUGCAAUGUGCGUGAUGAAAGUGCACCAUACCAUGGUGCAUGGUGCAUGGUGAUCGGUGGAACUGCAGCAUACUAAUGUGCAUGGGGCAUAGUAGAAGUGUACCGUAAUAAGGUGAAAGUGCUAGGUGGAUGGUGCAAGCGCAUGGUGUAUACUUCCUGGUGGAAGUUUGCCAUCAGAAGCUGCAUUGUGCAUAGUGGUAAGGCAAUAUACUAAUUUGAAUUAUUAAUGGAGCAAUUGCAACAUACCAAACACACGUUGCAUGUACAAAUUAUACCGUACCAAGACGCAUACUAUAAGGUAAAUGGUGGUAGUGGAUCAUAGCAAGGUGCAUUGUGUAUAGUAGAAAUGCACUAUAACAAGGUGUACGGGGCAUAUUACAUGUUAAAAGUGAAAAAUACAAAGGUGCACUUUGUAUAAUAGAACUGAAACUCUACCAAGGUGCGGUCCGUGGUAAAUGGUGGAAGUGCAUCAUACCAAGGUGCAAUGUGAAUAGUGAAAGCACACUGUAACGAGGACCAUGGUGCAUAGUGCAUAUUGGAAGUGGAAAAUACCAAGGUGGAAAAUGUAUAGUGGAAAUGUACUAUACCAAAGUGCAAGGUGAAUGGUGGAAAGGUAGCGUAUCAAGCUACACGGUGCAUUGUGCAUGAUGGAAGAGCACAAUACCGUAGUGCACGAUGCAUGGUGAAUAGUGGAACAUAAUCAUAUUAAUGUCCACGUUUGAUAGUGGAUGUGCAUCGUAAUAGGUUCAACGGGUAAGGUGGAUGGUGGAAGUAUAGUAUAGCAAGGUGUACUUUGCAUAUUGAGCAUGCAAUGUACUAACGUGCAUGGUCCAUAGCAUAGUGCACGGUGGAAGUGCAAAAUACCAAGGUGCAUUGUGUAUAAUGGAAGUACACUAUGCAAAGGUGCAAUGUGCGUGAUGAAAGUGCACCAUACCAUGGUGCAUGGUGCAUGGUGAUCGGUGGAACUGCAGCAUACUAAUGUGCAUGGGGCAUAGUAGAAGUGUACCGUAAUAAGGUGAAAGUGCUAGGUGGAUGGUGCAAGCGCAUGGUGUAUACUUCCUGGUGGAAGUUUGCCAUCAGAAGCUGCAUUGUGCAUAGUGGUAAGGCAAUAUACUAAUUUGAAUUAUUAAUGGAGCAAUUGCAACAUACCAAACACACGUUGCAUGUACAAAUUAUACCGUACCAAGACGCAUACUAUAAGGUAAAUGGUGGUAGUGGAUCAUAGCAAGGUGCAUUGUGUAUAGUAGAAAUGCACUAUAACAAGGUGUACGGGGCAUAUUACAUGUUAAAAGUGAAAAAUACAAAGGUGCACUUUGUAUAAUAGAACUGAAACUCUACCAAGGUGCGGUCCGUGGUAAAUGGUGGAAGUGCAUCAUACCAAGGUGCAAUGUGAAUAGUGAAAGCACACUGUAACGAGGACCAUGGUGCAUAGUGCAUAUUGGAAGUGGAAAAUACCAAGGUGGAAAAUGUAUAGUGGAAAUGUACUAUACCAAAGUGCAAGGUGAAUGGUGGAAAGGUAGCGUAUCAAGCUACACGGUGCAUUGUGCAUGAUGGAAGAGCACAAUACCGUAGUGCACGAUGCAUGGUGAAUAGUGGAACAUAAUCAUAUUAAUGUCCACGUUUGAUAGUGGAUGUGCAUCGUAAUAGGUUCAACGGGUAAGGUGGAUGGUGGAAGUAUAGUAUAGCAAGGUGUACUUUGCAUAUUGAGCAUGCAAUGUACUAACGUGCAUGGUCCAUAGCAUAGUGCACGGUGGAAGUGCAAAAUACCAAGGUGCAUUGUGUAUAAUGGAAGUACACUAUGCAAAGGUGCAAUGUGCGUGAUGAAAGUGCACCAUACCAUGGUGCAUGGUGCAUGGUGAUCGGUGGAACUGCAGCAUACUAAUGUGCAUGGGGCAUAGUAGAAGUGUACCGUAAUAAGGUGAAAGUGCUAGGUGGAUGGUGCAAGCGCAUGGUGUAUACUUCCUGGUGGAAGUUUGCCAUCAGAAGCUGCAUUGUGCAUAGUGGUAAGGCAAUAUACUAAUUUGAAUUAUUAAUGGAGCAAUUGCAACAUACCAAACACACGUUGCAUGUACAAAUUAUACCGUACCAAGACGCAUACUAUAAGGUAAAUGGUGGUAGUGGAUCAUAGCAAGGUGCAUUGUGUAUAGUAGAAAUGCACUAUAACAAGGUGUACGGGGCAUAUUACAUGUUAAAAGUGAAAAAUACAAAGGUGCACUUUGUAUAAUAGAACUGAAACUCUACCAAGGUGCGGUCCGUGGUAAAUGGUGGAAGUGCAUCAUACCAAGGUCCAAUGUGAAUAGUGGAAGCUCACUAUAAUGAAAACCAUGGUGCAUAGUGCAUAUUGGAAGUUCAAAAAAGCAAGGUGGGCUAUGUAUAGUGGAAGUGUACUAUACCGAAGUGCAAGGUGCAUGGUGGAAAGGCAGCGUACCAUGCUAUACGAUGCAUUGUGCAUGAUAAGCGGGCACCAUACCGUAGUGCAUGAUGCAUGGUUAAUGGUGAAAGUUCAUCAUAGUAAUGUCCAUGAUCCAUAGUGGAAGUUCACUGUACUAGGUGCAAAGUGCACGGUGGAUGGUGGAAGUACACAAUAGCAUGGUAUACUAUGUAUAUGCGACAUGCAAUGUACUAAAGUGCAUGGUCCAUAGCAUAGUGCAUGGUGGAAGUGCAAAAUAUGAAGGUACAUUGUGUAUCCUAGAGAUACACUAUGCCAAGGUGCAAGGUACAUGAUGGAAGUGCAUCAUACCAUGGUUUACGAUCCAUGGUGAUCGAUAGAACUGAAGCAUACUAAUGUGCACUGGGCAUAGUGGAACUGUACCGUCAUAAGGUGAAAGUACAAGGCGGAUGGUUGUAGCGCACCAUAGAAAAGGUGUACUGUGCAUAUUGGCACUACAAUAUACCAAGGUGUGUGGUCCAUAUAGUGCAUGGUGGAAGUGCAUUGUACCAUGGUGAUAUGUGUAAGGUUUAUAGUGGAAUUUCAGCAUACCAAGCUGCACCGUGAGAUGUGGAAGUGCACUAUUCCAAGCUGCAUGGUGUAUACUGCAUUUUGUGGAAGGGCAUCAUAAGAAGCUGCACUGUGCAUAGUAGUAAGGCAAUAUACUAUUUUGCAUGAUGCAUGGUGCCAUUGAAUCAUACGAAGCACACGGUACAUCUUCGAAUUACACCGUACCAAGACACAUAGUGAAUGUUAAAAUGGUGGAAGUGGACCAUAGCAAGGUGCAUUUUGCAUAGUGGGAAUGCACUAGAACAAGGUGUACGGUGCAUAUUACAUUUUAAAAGUGAAAAAUAAAUACCAAGGUGCACUAUAUUUAACAGAACUGCACUAUACCAAGGUGCAAUGUGAAUACUGAAAGCACACUAUAACGAGGAGUAUUGUGCAUAGUGCAUAUUGGAUGUCCAAAAUACAAAGAUUGUCUAUGUAUAGUGGAAGCCUACUAUACCAAAGUGCAAGGUGCAUGGUGUAAAGGAAGCGUACCAUGCUGCACGGUGCAUUGUGCAUGAUGGAACUGCACCAUACUGUAGUGCAUGAUACAUGGUGAAUGGUGGAACUUCAUCAUACUAAUGUCCUUCGUGCAUAGUGGAAGUGCACCAUACUAAGUGUAAAGUGCAAGGUGGAUGGUGGAAGUACACAAUAGCAAGGUAUACUGUGAAUAUUUGGCAUGCAAUGUACUAAGGUGCAUGGUCCAUAGCAUAGUGCAUGACGGAAGUGCAAAAUACCAAGGUGCAUUGUGUAUAAUAGAAGUAUACUGUGCCAAGGUGCAAGGUGCAUGAUGGAAGUGAACCAUACGAUGGUGCACGGUGCAUGGUGAUCUGUGGAUCUACAACAUACUAAUGUGCAUGGGGUAUAGUGGAAGUGUACCGUAAUAAGGUGAAAGUGUAAGGUGGAUGGUGGAAGCGCACCAUAUAAAGGUGUAUUGUGCAUAUUGGAAUUGCAAUGUACCAAGGUGCAUGGUCCCUAUAGUUCAUGGUGGAAGUGCAUUAUACCGUGGUGAUAUGUGUAAGGUUUAUAGUGGAAUUACACCAUACCAAGGUGUAUGGUACAAAGUGGAAAUGUACCAUUCCAAGCUGCAUGGUGUGUACGGCAUUGUGGAAGUGCACCAUAAGAAGUUGGACUGUGCAUAGUGGUAAGGCAAUAUACUAAUGUGCAUGAUUCAUGGUGCAAUUGCAUCAUACCCAGUAUACCAUGCAUGUUCGAAUUACACCGUACCAAGACGCAUAGUCUAUGGUAAAUGGUGGAAGUGGACCAUAGCAAGGUGAACAAGGUGUAUGGUGUAUAUUAGAUGUUAAAAUUUUAAAAUACCAAGGUGCAUUUUGUUUAAUGGAUCUGCACUAUACCAAGGUGCAAGGUGCGUGGUAAAUGGUGGUAAUUGCAUUUUCAUUAUGGUCUUACAGAAGGCCAAUUACUUAAAUAAGUUCGUAUCGCCUCAAAAGGCAACGGGCCAAAAGGCAAGGUUUUACUCCAAUUACUUGUAAUGCAUUUGGAUAACAUCCUUUUUCGAUUAGGUAUGGCGGCAACCAUUCCUCGAGCUCGCUAAUAAGUUAACCAUAGACAUAUUUUAGUUAAUGUUCGUAUAGUAGAUAUACCAAGUUAUCACUGCAAAUCCCAAGAUAUUAUUACAACGAGGAAUGAACAAUGAUCUAGAACUAUGAUCCAAAAUUAUAUUGAUUCCUCCACAGCGGGCAAAUUGCCAAAACACUUCACGCUUCACGCGUUGGAAUAUAAAGGAACGGUCAAUCAAAUAAUAGAUAGUAAAUGGGUGGGCUUAAAAUAAAUGAAUUUUUAGUUGUAGAAUAUUAUUCUCGUCAGACUUAAACCUAACUAAAAUAACAAGGGUUCGAACCUAAAGAAGAUACCUAAGGUAAGGGGUCGAUGAAUUUGUCUCCCAUUCAUAUAUCAGAAAAUCGCGGGUAUAUUUUCAUUCUUUGGCCAUUCUUUACAGUAUUUUCUAUACCACAGAAAUUUGGAAUAGGGAAUCUCGAUCAAGGGAAGCUAUUUGGAAUAGGGAAUCUCGAUCAUGGGAAGCUAUAACUAUUAUAAGAAGGGUAUUUGUUGUUAUGUGAUUUGGUUUAUUUGAGUCAGUAAAAUUGAGAAAUUAGGUGAAUAUGUGAAGAAGUGGAAAGAGAGGGGUUCGGACCCUCGGUAAACAAAAGCCUACAUAGCAGUUCCAAUGCUAUGCCUUGAACCACUCGACCAUCUCUCCUACAUAAUGAUUAUGUCCUAGAAAUCGGGUGAAUCACGAGUAAUUCAUAUCAAAUUGUGGGAUGACUAUGGUAUGUACAAUUUCUACAAAUGGAGAAAUUUUAAUCAAAUAAAGAUAAAGAUCUUUCCCUCGGGGUUGGGACAUAAAGAUAUAUUUUUUUAACUUUACCAAAGAGUUAAAAAAAAUAAAGGUAUAUAUCUCUUCAUGCUUGCGAAGACGGGUCGAUCUUCCCCUCGGGAUUGGGAGAUAAAGAUAUAUUCUUUUAACUUUACCAAAGAGUUAAAAAAUAUAGGUAUAUUUCUUCAUGCUUGCGAAGACAGGUCUCCUGCCUUUUUCUUAUAUUUACGAUUGGAAUGAUCGGUCUAUAUUUUGUAUGUUUAUGAGUUCAGUCUAUUUUUAUGUUAUUUCGUACUAUCCAAUUCCUUUUUGUGGUAUCUUUUUCUCAUGAGAGGUAAUUAAAAGAAAUUAUAAAAUGGCUUGCUACUUAUUUUUAGAUUUGGAAAUUUUAUUGAUAAGACCUUUUCAAUUGUAGCCAAUAUCUUACUACGAAUAAUCCCCACAACUUCGGGAGAAAAGGAGGCAUUUACCUAUUACAGAGAUGGUGUGAUUUGAUUUUUUUAUUUACCGCCUUCAACUCGAGUCUUAGGAGAAAGGCACCUUAGUCGGGAUAGAAAGGUUUGAAAUAACUCUACGCUUGUUGAAGGUGCAGUUUCAAAAUAAACCAAUUCCUUCUGUCGUGUAUCCUCGAUUAAUGCAGCCUUAAAUGCUCCAACUGUCGAUUCUAGCAUUGAGCGAAAGGUUAUCCCUAUGGCAUGUUUUUUGUAUUGUAGAUUAACCCCAUUUCACUAGUACCAAUAGGUUGGCAUGUAGGAAAAAAUACUGCCCCUAGGAAUCAACAACACGGAACCUUUGUUAAAAAAUCCUGGCUUAGGAUCGAAACUAUGAAGAAUGGUUGGGAUAACAAAUAUCCAUCUUGUUCGGACUUUGGAUACCCAUAUAACCAUCAAAGACUAUUGAAGUGACUAAUUCGCUUAAAUUAGAAGGGCGUUGAGGACAAAGAAAUUAUUGGAGUUAACUUAACAUUUUUAUCUAGUAUCAACAGCUGGGAUGUUAAGAAAAAAAUUUUUGCAGGAAGGUUGGCUAGUGAUUUAGUGUAAAAAUACUAGCCCCGCCCAGUUCAUAAAAACUACUAUUUCACUCCUUUUUUAUUCUCUAUAUUUUUUUCAUUAUACACAUAAAGGAGGAGCCGUAUGAGAUGAAAAUCUCAUGUACGGUUCUGGAACGGAGAUUAUUUAAAUCAAAUACGA